rnacentral:rRNA from 1 species
GACGAACGCUGGCGGCGUGCUUAACACAUGCAAGUCGAACGAUGAACCGGGUGCUUGCACUUGGGGAUUAGUGGCGAACGGGUGAGUAACACGUGAGUAACCUGCCCUGGACUCUGGGAUAACCCCGAGAAAUCGGAGCUAAUACCGGAUAGGACCUUUCCCCGCAUGGGGUUUGGUGGAAAGUUUUUCGGUCUGGGAUGGACUCGCGGCCUAUCAGCUUGUUGGUGAGGUAAUGGCUCACCAAGGCGUCGACGGGUAGCCGGCCUGAGAGGGUGACCGGCCACACUGGGACUGAGACACGGCCCGGACUCCUACGGGAGGCAGCAGUGGGGAAUAUUGCACGAUGGGCGCAAGCCUGAUGCAGCAACGCCGCGUGCGGGAUGACGGCCUUCGGGUUGUAAACCGCUUUUAGUAGGGAAGAAGGGCUUCGGCUUGACGGUACCUGCAGAAAAAGGACCGGCUAACUACGUGCCAGCCGCCGCAGUAACAC